rnacentral:tRNA from 1 species
CCGACCUUAGCUCAGCUGGAAGAGCAUCAGACUGUAAUUGGUUACGUAAUCUUCACAUCUGGUGGUCGCCUGUUCGAGCCAGGCAGGUCGGA